AAUGUGCAACCCUGCACUUUCAAAAGACCGCUCAAAACUCAAUAAAUUCCAUCCAACACCAAGAAUAACAGACUUCACUCCAACCAAUCUGAAUUCACAUAAUUCUUGUAAUCCUAGACUUCCUCUGUCGAAACACACACAACUCUCAAUAAACAACAAUCAUAAUCUUCUAUCCAUAAUCAAUCUUCUAAUAACUUCUCAUAUAAUUCAAUCACUCAGUACUCCAAUUACAUAAUCAAUAACUCAUAAAUCAAUCUCUGAUUUAUUCCAUAGACUCACUUCUCAGUAUUCAAAAACUAUCCAUUACUCUUCAACAAUAAAAAAAAACAAAAAAACAAAGAAGAAGCACCAAGCUUAACCUCGGCUCAUGACUAUCACAGUUUGGCCUCCCGACAAACUUCUACAACUCCAAUAUAAUUGCUACUGAUUUCCAGAUUCUAACCGUAAUCCUAUAAUAACUACUUUUAAUAAU
rnacentral:lncRNA from 1 species